rnacentral:misc_RNA from 1 species
AGCAGGAAGGCUUGCAGUAAAAUCCUCAUAGCUUUGGGUGGGCUCACCAAGCUUCUCCACAAUGACUUGCUUUGCCUUCUCCUCAAUCUUGAAAACUAUAUACCGGUAUGUUCUUUUUGCCUUGAGCUCCAAGAACCUCAAUUUGCAGUCAUCAUGGACUGCCAUGCCAGAAGCAGCAUUGGCCAAAGUAAAAAAGCUGAUGAGGCAGCAGAGAUUUCGCAGGCAAAUAGAAAAGGAAGUGACGAGGAAGAUCAAAACCGU